AUCUACGGCCAUAUCGCCCUGAACGCGCCCGAUCUCAUCUGAUCUCAGAAGCUAAGCAGGGUCGGGCCUUGAUAGCACUUGGAUGGGAGACUGUCUAGGAAUACAGGGUGCCUGCCGUAGGCU
ensembl:rRNA 5S_rRNA 5S ribosomal RNA